rnacentral:lncRNA from 1 species
GCCAAAGCUGGAAUUGCCUUUUUGGCAGGAGAAAAAAAAUCACACCCAGGUUUCAGUGGGAGAAAAUAUUCACAGGAGCUCAGAUGAAAGAAAUGAGUCACUCCUAGCCUGCACUAUCCUCCUUGCAGCUCCUCAGGAGGCUUUCUUUGCAGGUUGCCACCUUCCCACCCAUCAGCUCCCUGGGGGACUUUGGUGGCUGCAGGUGAAGGGCAGAGCGUUCCCCUGAGCCUUUUUUUUCACCGACCAGCCUGCAACUGGCAAUUUACCAGCCCAAAAUGCCAACUGCCAGGGAGAGGCAUCGGGGAAACCGAUAACCAGCGAACGUGAAGCAAGUCAACAAUUGUUUGGAGCCGCUUCGCCGGGUCGGAACGACACGGAGGGUUUCUCAGCAGCAAAUGUUACUCCCGAGACUGGAAUAUCAUUAACUCCUGCCUACUCCCUCCUGCUGCCCGGAUGCCCUCCAGAAUGCCAUCAGCACGCAGAGGCUUCUGCAAAUUCUCACACUGAGCCCUGUGCCCUUCCAGCAGGACCAAAGCAAUGGGGAUCCUUUGGUUCAUUUUAAUCUUCGUCUCCCUCACCUCUCACGGAGAUGCUUACGGACCAGACAGCUGUAAACAGGAAGGGGGCUUAUGCCGACUUGGAAACUGCGUUUCUGGUGAAUACCUGGCUAACUACUGCUUCCAACCCAUCAUUCUCUGUUGCAAAACCUUGUCACCCACUACCACCAAGAGCUGAAGAUUUCCAAAGGAGAGAAAUGCAGCUCGUGGAGAGCUGCUGGCUCCCCCGACAAGGAAGGGGGAGCAGAUGUUGUGCCUUUCUGUGACUGUUGCUCUUCUGGGAAAACAUGCCUGUAGAUUCACUUGUGGAUUUCUGAAUGUGUUGCUUUUUUGCUUUCGCUGUGGCUUUCUAGGAAACACUGUGACAAGAAGAAAUUGGGACCGCCCAGAUGAUUAUGUAUUGCCCCUUUGGGCAUCUGCUUGUUACCUGUUGUGCACAGGUGAGAAAUGGCUUCUCCCCUCACCUGAAAGCAAUAAAUCUGACAUUUAGCAGAACAGCAAAUGCCGUCUGUGAUUCCUCCUGACACUCAGCAAAGCUGCCGCUGGUAGGAUGCUCCCUCUCCCACUGACCAGCAGUGACCACAGCAGCCCACACCUUCCCAGCAGAACUGGGUGGCUCUGCCUCUUUAUUUCCCUCCCCAGAGAAAACAGUUGCAAUGAGAGUAGCCUUUUUUCCAUCGCUUUUGGUGCAAAAGCUACCCAGUUUGACAUAAAGGCAAGCGUGGUCUGUGUUUCUUAGGCAAGACCUGCCCCCACCCCCAUAUCUACUCUUCCUUUCCAGGCUGUGCCAGGUUCCUACAGGCACUGGG